rnacentral:rRNA from 1 species
AUGAAAGACCAUCUUGUAUAUUUCGUCCAUCUUCUUGUAUGUCAUCAUGGUGGCUUCAAAGUCCGGAAAUCUCCACUUGAACCUCUGUUCUUGUUCUCUUGUGGGUGUAACUGCGGUAGCCAUGUCCUCAUCAAGUAUGGCUACACACUUGUUAACUUCUCACAUUUGAUGCACAAAGGAGACAAGAUUGAACAUGAGCCUUUUAUUUUUCCUAACCAAGUCGAUCAAGUGUUUUACCUAGAAGACGAACUGAACCCAGGUUGGUCAGUGGUGAUGCAGAAUAAACUACCUAGAGAUAGAUGUGACAUUGGAAAUGAUGAAUGCACAUGA